AGAGUUUGAUCAUGGCUCAGAUUGAACGCUGGCGGUAACUUUUAAACAUGCAAGUCGAGCGGUAACAGACAUAAAGAUUCAGCUUGCUGAAUCCGGUGCUGACGAGCGGCGAACGGGUGAGUAACGCGUAGGAAUCUACCCAGUAGCGGGGGAUAGCCCGAGGAAACUCGGAUUAAUACCGCAUACGCCCUGAGGGGGAAAGGGGGCAGUUUACUGCUCUCACUAUUGGAUGAGCCUGCGUAAGAUUAGCUUGUUGGUAGGGUAAUGGCCUACCAAGGCGACGAUCUUUAGCUGGUCUGAGAGGACGAUCAGCCACAUUGGGACUGAGACACGGCCCAGACAUCUACGGAUGGCAGCAGUUAAGAAUAUUGGACAAUGGGGGCAACCCUGAUCCAGGUAUACCGCGUGUGUGAAGAAGGCCCUAGGGUUGUAAAGCACUUUAAUCAGAGAAGAAGCAUUUUAAAUUAAUACCUUAAAAUGUUGACGUUACCUGAAGAAUAAGGACCGGCUAACUCCGUGCCAGCAGCCGCGGUAAUACGGAGGGUCCAAGCGUUAAUCGGAAUUACUGGGCGUAAAGCGCGCGUAGGCGGUUUAGCAAGUUGUAUGUGAAAGCCCUGGGCUCAACCUAGGAACUGCAUUC
rnacentral:rRNA from 1 species